CCCUUAGAUGUUCUGGGCAGCACGUGCGCUACAAUGGUCUUCGCAAACGGAUGCAUUCUCGAAGGAGAAUGCCAAUCUUGGAAUCUAUGCCUUGGUCGGGACAGUUGCUUGCAAUUUUUCGACUCGAACCAGGAAUUCCUUGUAAUCGUGAUUCAUCACAUCACGAUGAAUACGUCCCUGCCCUUUGUACACACCGCCCGUCGCUCCUACCGAUCGAAGAGUUAGGUGAAUUGUUUUGAUCGAUAAGAUUUGACUAUGGUCAACUCUCGUUGUGAAAUUCUGUGAAUCCGACUGUUUAGAGGAAGGAAAAGUCGUAACA
rnacentral:rRNA from 1 species